rnacentral:rRNA from 1 species
GACGAACGCUGGCGGCGUGCCUAAUACAUGCAAGUAGAACGCACAGUUUAUACCGUAGCUUGCUACACCAUAGACUGUGAGUUGCGAACGGGUGAGUAACGCGUAGGUAACCUGCCUGGUAGCGGGGGAUAACUAUUGGAAACGAUAGCUAAUACCGCAUAAUAUUAAUUAUUGCAUGAUAAUUAAUUGAAAGGUGCAAUUGCACCACUACCAGAUGGACCUGCGUUGUAUUAGCUAGUAGGUGAGGUAACGGCUCACCUAGGCGACGAUACAUAGCCGACCUGAGAGGGUGAUCGGCCACACUGGGACUGAGACACGGCCCAGACUCCUACGGGAGGCAGCAGUAGGGAAUCUUCGGCAAUGGACGAAAGUCUGACCGAGCAACGCCGCGUGAGUGAAGAAGGGUUUCGGAUCGUAAAGCUCUGUUGUAAGAGAAGAACGGGUGUGAGAGUGGAAAGUUCACACUGUGGCGGUAUCUUACCAGAAAGGGACGGCUAACUACGUG